UACGAAGGGGGCGAGCGUUGUUCGGAAUUACUGGGCGUAAAGGGCGCGUAGGCGGCCCCCUUUUGUCGCGUGUGAAAGCCCCGGGCUCAACCUGGGAACGGCGCACGAAACGGGAGGGCUGGAGUUCGGGAGAGGAGAGUGGAAUUCCCAGUGUAGAGGUGAAAUUCGUAGAUAUUGGGAAGAACACCGGUGGCGAAGGCGGCUCACUGGCCCGGUACUGACGCUGAGGCGCGAAAGCGUGGGGAGCAAACAGG
rnacentral:rRNA from 1 species